CUUGGCAUCGACGUAGCGGUCGGGGUCGUCGCCGAACUCUGCGAGCACCCGGGCGCCGAUGAUCGGUCCCAGACCGGGCUGG
rnacentral:sRNA from 1 species